CCUACGGGAGGCAGCAGUGGGGAAUAUUGGACAAUGGGCGAAAGCCUGAUCCAGCCAUGCCGCGUGUGUGAAGAAGGCCUUCGGGUUGUAAAGCACUUUCAGUGGGGAAGAAAGCCUUGGGGCUAAUACCCUCGAGGAAGGACAUCACCCACAGAAGAAGCACCGGCUAACUCCGUGCCAGCAGCCGCGGUAAUACGGAGGGUGCGAGCGUUAAUCGGAAUUACUGGGCGUAAAGCGCGCGUAGGCGGUCUGAUAAGCCGGUUGUGAAAGCCCCGGGCUCAACCUGGGAACGGCAUCCGGAACUGUCAGGCUAGAGUGCAGGAGAGGAAGGUAGAAUUCCCGGUGUAGCGGUGAAAUGCGUAGAGAUCGGGAGGAAUACCAGUGGCGAAGGCAGCCUUCUGGACUGACACUGACGCUGAGGUGCGAAAGCGUGGGUAGCAAACAGGAUUAGAUACCCUGGUAGUC
rnacentral:rRNA from 1 species